UAAGUCGGUAGUGAAAGCGUGGGGCUCAACCCCAUAACCAUUACCGAAACUGCGAAGCUAGAGGAUGAGAGAGGUUAUUGGAAUUCCCAGUGUAGGAGUGAAAUCCGUAGAUAUUGGGAGGAACACCGAUGGCGUAGGCAGAUAACUGGCUCAUUCCUGACACUAAGGCACGAAAGCGUGGGUAGCAAACGGGAUUAGAUACCCCGGUAGUCCACGCUGUAAACGAUGGAUGCUA
rnacentral:rRNA from 1 species